GAAAGGACUGCCAAUACCGCAUAAGCUGGUGACGGCCUCGGCUGUUACCAGGAAAGGAUGGCCUCUGCUUGCAUGCCGUCGCCGGAGGAUGGGCCCGCGUCCCAUCAGCUUGUUGGUGAGGUAAUGGCUCACCAAGGCUGAGACGGGUAGCUGGUCUGAGAGGAUGAUCAGCCACACUGGGACUGAGACACGGCCCAGACUCCUACGGGAGGCAGCAGUGGGGAAUAUUGGACAAUGGGCGAAAGCCUGAUCCAGCCACGCCGCGUGUGUGAUGAAGGCUUUCGGGUCGUAAAGCACUGUGGAGGGGGAAGAACAAGUGUAGGCUAAUACCCUGCACCCUGACGGUACCCCUUUAGCAAGCACCGGCUAACUCCGUGCCAGCAGCCGCGGUAAUACGGAGGGUGCAAACGUUGCUCGGAAUUAUUGGGCGUAAAGCGCGUGUAGGCGGUCUGUUAAGUCGCAUGUGAAAGCCCUGGGCUCAACCCA
rnacentral:rRNA from 1 species